AGAGUCACAGAAUGCUAUUUCAACCCUGUACAGCAAUCUUUAAUACACGCUAAAGUCUGGAGGACAGAUACUUCCUUUUCCAGAUAAACUUACAGAUCCAGAUGAAGGUACCCCAAGCAGCUUGAGAUGUGAUGAUGGAGACCAGUUUGAGAAGACCCAUCAUCUCUGAUUUCCCUCUGAUUAUGAAGUAAUACAACAAAGCUACAGAUCUCACUCUGUCACUCAGGCUGGAAUGCUGUGGCACAAUCAUAGCUUACUGCCGCCUCAAACUCCUGGGCUCAAGCGAUCCUGGCACUUGAGAUUACAGGCACACACCACCACACCUGGCUAAUUAAAAAAAAAAAAUGUGGAAAUGAGAUCUCCCUAUGUUGCUCAAGCUGGUCUCUAACUGCUGACCUGGCCUCAAGUGAGCUUCCCAUCUCAGGCUCUUGAAGUGCUAGAAUUACAAACAUGAGCCACAGUGCUUGCCCUCUCUUUUUUCUUCUUUAAUAAAAUAAGAUGUUAUAAAUACUUGUACCUGAUAUUCUAACAAAUAAAGGAAUAUAACGGUAAAUGUUCCUUUUAAGAAAGGCACGACCUCUAGUAAAACAUUUUUGCCAGAAAUUUGAAAUAUUUUAGAAAUAAAGAUGGCUAUGAUAUUCUACAAAAUAA
rnacentral:lncRNA from 1 species